GGAAGGAUCAUUAUUGAAAUAAACCUGAUGGGUUGUUGCUGGUUCUCUAGGGAGCAUGUGCACACCUUGUCAUCUUUAUAUCUCCACCUGUGCACCUUUUGUAGGCCUUCCAGGUCUAUGUUUGCCUCAUUUAACCCCAUGUUAAUAGAAUGUUGUUGUGCCUAUAUAAUAUACAACUUUCAGCAACGGAUCUCUUGGCUCUCGCAUCGAUGAAGAACGCAGCGAAAUGCGAUAAGUAAUGUGAAUUGCAGAAUUCAGUGAAUCAUCGAAUCUUUGAACGCACCUUGCGCUCCUUGGUAUUCCGAGGAGCAUGCCUGUUUGAGUGUCAUUAAUACAUAUAUCAACCUUCUCAUUGUGGAAUGGUUUGGAUGUGGGGGUUUUCUUGCUGGAACCUUUCAAAGAGUCCAGCUCCCCUUAAAUGCAUUAGCAGAACAAACCCGUUCAUUGGCGUGAUAACUAUCUAUGCUAAUUGAAUAUGAAGGGCAGUUCAUCUUUCUAACAGUCCUUUGGACAACUCAUCAUUAAUGUGGCCUCAAAUCAGG
rnacentral:sRNA from 1 species